GCCGGCGUAGCUCAGUUGGUAGAGCACGUCAUUCGUAAUGAUGGGGUCGGGAGUUCGAAUCUCUUCGCCGGCACCA
rnacentral:tRNA from 2 species